GAAAAAGCUGUGAAAGAGUUCAGUAGUCUCCAUGGUUACAAUUUCAGAGAGCAGAUCGGCCGGUGAAAGAUCUGCAGCACAUGGCAAGACGAAAUACGCUCUGGAGCUUCGAAGUAUAAAAAGCUUCGACGGUCCCCACCCGUUAUCGUGGCCAAAGGCAUGUUUAUCAUGUGAAUUAAGGUGGUACCACGGGGUUUCUCGUCCUUAUG
rnacentral:ncRNA from 1 species